rnacentral:rRNA from 1 species
AGAGUUUGAUCCUGGCUCAGGAUGAACGCUGGCGGCGUGCUUAACACAUGCAAGUCGAACGAACCUUCGGGUUAGUGGCGGACGGGUGAGUAACGCGUGAGAAUCUGCCCUCAGGAGGGGGAUAACAGUUGAAAACGACUGCUAAUACCCCAUAUGCCGAGAGGUGAAACGAAUUUUGCCUGGGGAUGAGCUCGCGUCUGAUUAGCUUGUUGGUGGGGUAAUGGCUUACCAAGGCUUCGAUCAGUAGCUGGUCUGAGAGGACGAUCAGCCACACUGGGACUGAGACACGGCCCAGACUCCUACGGGAGGCAGCAGUGGGGAAUUUUCCGCAAUGGGCGCAAGCCUGACGGAGCAACGCCGCGUGAGGAAUGGAGGCCUUUGGGCUGUAAACCUCUUUUCUCAAGGAAGAACAUCUGACGGUACUUGAGGAAUAAGCCACGGCUAAUUCCGUGCCAGCAGCCGCGGUAAUACGGGAGUGGCAAGCGUUAUCCGGAAUUAUUGGGCGUAAAGCGUCCGCAGGCGGCCGUUUAAGUCUGUUGUUAAAUCGUGGGAGCUCAACUCCAUCAUGGGCAUUGGGAAACUGUCCGGGCUUGAGUUAUGGUAGGGG